rnacentral:rRNA from 1 species
GACGAACGCUGGCGGCGUGCUUAACACAUGCAAGUCGAACGGAAAGGCCCUGCUUUUGUGUGGUGCUCGAGUGGCGAACGGGUGAGUAACACGUGAGUAACCUGCCCUUGACUUUGGGAUAACUUCAGGAAACUGGGGCUAAUACCGGAUAGGAGCUCCUGCUGCAUGUUGUGGGUUGGAAAGUUUCGGCGGUUGGGGAUGGACUCGCGGCUUAUCAGCUUGUUGGUGUGGUAGUGGCUUACCAAGGCUUUGACGGGUAGCCGGCCUGAGAGGGUGACCGGCCACAUUGGGACUGAGAUACGGCCCAGACUCCUACGGGAGGCAGCAGUGGGGAAUAUUGCACAAUGGGCGGAAGCCUGAUGCAGCAACGCCGCGUGCGGGAUGACGGCCUUCGGGUUGUAAACCGCUUUCGCCUGUGACGAAGCGUGAGUGACGGUAAUGGGUAAAGAAGCACCGGCUAACUACGUG